CCCUAAAGUACUUCAGUUUGGUGAUGUGCUAUAUGGUUUUUUUUUUUCCUCACAUUCAUUUUACAAAAUGAAGAUUUCAAGACCUCCAACUUGGGUGUUUGUCAGGCAAUUGUUCCUUUUUGCUUUCAGAUUUGCUUGGGUAAACUCAAAGCAGGCAAUUGAUUUGAGCAACUUAUCAUUGAGCUGCGAUUGGAUAGCCAGUGUCUGUGCUGGGUUAGAGGGAGAGCUUGCAAAGGUUUCAGACUAUAAAUCUGUAAGCUUUUAGAUCGCCACUGGAAAAGAGUGCAUAAUUAAAUGCAUGUUCUCACUGUG